rnacentral:rRNA from 1 species
GCAAACGGGUGCGGAACACGUACGCAACCUUCCUUUAACUGGAGAAUAGCCCCUCGAAAGAGGGAUUAAUACUCCGUAACAUAUAGAUGUGGCAUCACAAUUAUAUUAUAGCUCCGGCGGUUAAAGAUGGGCGUGCGCCUGAUUAGAUAGUUGGCAGGGUAACGGCCUACCAAGUCUGCGAUCAGUAACUGGUGUGAGAGCACGACCAGUCACACGGGCACUGAGACACGGGCCCGACUCAUACGGGAGGCAGCAGUAAGGAAUAUUGGUCAAUGGACGCAAGUCUGAACCAGCCAUGCCGCGUGGAGGAUUAAGGCCCUCUGGGUUGUAAACUCCUUUUAUCUGGGAAGAAAUGCAUUUUUUUUAAAGUGCUUGACGGUACCAGAGGAAUAAGCACCGGCUAACUCCGUGCCAGCAGCCGCGG